UCUCCUCCCCCUUCUUUAGCCCACCACUUCUCCUUACCAUCACACAUUCUUCGGGGCUACUGGAUGUUCCUUCGGGCUGGAUGUUAUCCAGGUCAGCAUGCUUCUCAUUCCCGAAAGUGUCCUCUACCUGUGUGCCACUAUAUACCACUUGACGAUCAUUGUAUCGCGUAAUGCCGGAUACUCCGUCGCAGAGUACGGCUACAACAAUAAAAUUUUCGCCUGGGCAUUGGGAGCCAUCAACACAGGAUAAUAUUUCUUAAGUGCUCUCCUGGCCUUCCGCAUUUACAGACGUGUAUAAGCAACGCCCAAACGAACCCAACGAGAGCUUGGAAAAAAUCGAGUAUUCAAAAUCUCAUCUUUCUAUCUUUGUACGUGUUUUUUUUAUUUAUUGCAGUUGUGACAUCACCGAUUAUCGCUUUCUAGUUAUUCACUUCAAGCUCACUGUCUAGAAUAUGUUCAUCAUUGAUUCAUACUACCAUUUCAUUCUUUUUUCAAGAGUUGAUUAAACUGCAUUAACCUGGCAUGGUGCUGUAAACGCAAUGUUCAAAUACAGAAAAAAAGAGCUACGAUGA